rnacentral:hammerhead_ribozyme from 1 species
AUCCAGCUGAAGAGUCACAACUAGGACGAAACGUGCAUCCUGGAU